GCCGCUUUCGUGCGUCUUGAUGCAGAUGGUCCGUCCGCUGCGCCAGUGGUCCCGCUCACCUUUAAACCCUUCCCGCAGCCAGAGUCUCUGCCUCCCUCCUGUGUCUCACCCUGAGAAAGACAUGCCCCCUGGCUCUCCCUGAGCUAGGGUUAGCGGAUGACUCUCUAUCAGCACCAAGCUGUGCCUGGUUAGUGCCUGGCACCCAGACCAGAGUACCCAGAGCCAACUUUUAUUGACGACGUUGAAUGCGGCCCAACACAAAUUCCGUGGCCCAGGGAAGACAAAAGAUGAGACACCCCUGCUUUGAAACAACCUCAUGAGGUGUGAGGUCCAGACAGGGGACUUCAUCUCUCUGAGCUGCCAUCUUCUCUCUAUAAAGUUAAGUCAACCAUAGAAUGCCCCUCCCAGAGGUGUGGGGAGGAUUCGAUGAGACAAUCCACAGGGCUGGCUAUCACGACUUCAUCCCCCUUUAUUUUAUGUGACACCUCUCUAAGCCUCAGUUUCCCCAUCUGUUAAAUGUGGUGGACGACCUCUACUCUGCCUCCCCCCCAGGGCUGGCAUGAGUUUCCACAGGGAGGAGGCUGAGAGGCCCCCUUUGUGGGAGUGGCAGCAUUUGGUUACUGCAGUUCAUGUUUCCAGCAGGAGCCUCAAAGUGUCUAAACACAGACUAUUUUUAGCACCAGAAUGAGGCUCUGGUGUUGAGCUGCCAACUUGAAGAUGGGUGGGGAAGAGCUGCCUGCAGGGGAAAGAAAAACAGAGGCAUAGCCUGCCCUGUGGUUCCUUACCUCCCCUGGGAGUAAAAUUAUGCCUCCCCCUUCCAGGUUCUAUUGGCUAGGGUAGGCCAGAAUGGAAGCCUGUGAGGCUGGGUAGGGGGCUGACUCCCUCUCUGUAAUCCCCAGCACCUGACUUGGGGGGCAGAGGCAGUUCGGAGGGACUGGGCAGGCCCAGCGACCAACUGACCCCCAGACCACCCAAGCUUCACCGAGAAAUAGCUAUUGAGAAAUCAGGUUCAUGAAGGUUUGAUUUCUUAAGAGUUCUGGGUAGGAGACCCAUCUGGGAAGUUUCCAAGAAACUGGGGAGCCCAGGUAAAAUUUCAGUCUUGUUCUAAUAAUAAAAAUAUCAGAAGUCACUGGUGUUUGUUGAGCGCAUACUAUAUGCCAGUCAUCUUAUUCCCAUUGUGCCUUUUAAUCCCCACUAUCAUUCUUUGAGGUGGUCAUUAACUUCUUUGAACAUCAGUUUCCCCAUCUAUAGAGUGAUGAUGUAAUAUAAUUUAUCUCUUAGGGUUAGCGUGAGAACUAAAUAAGUCAAUAUAUACAAAUAUAUCAUAUCUAUAUGUAUUAGGUGCAAAUGCUACAUCUUAUAAUAAUUUCUGGAGAAUACAUGUGGUUUUGCCUGUUCAGUGCCCCUUCAUUCUGAUACAAGGACUCUAUUUUCCUUCACGGAAUUUCUCCCUCAUUAAUUCUCAGCUCAUGUGGCUUGGAUAGAAUGGAUUCCUCUUGCCAGUUGCUGCAGACAUUCCUAUACCUCCCUCCUGAUGCAUGUAUAUAAUAAUUAAUGUAGAGUGCAUGUAUACCUAGGAGUGAAAGCGCUAGUUUUUGUCUGUUUGUUUUUGUUUUUGUAUGAGCAUCUUAUGAUUAUCCUAAAAGAUGCCAGUUUUUUUCCAAGGUUGCUGUAGUCACAACUUCCCCAGUACAGUUUGAGCAUUCCUGCUGCUCCAAAUCCACACCAACACUUAAUGUUGUCAGUCCUUUCCUUUUUGGUCAGUUUGGUAGAUCUGUAACAGAUGCCAUAUGUGCCCCACCCACAGAGUUAAAUUCUGAAUGUUCAUCUGGUUGUCUGAGGGGUUUCUCCAGCACCUUGAAUGCUUUUUGUGCUUGUGUGGUUGGCAGGCAAGACAUGCUAGAAUAUUAACAUUUGGAAGCAGCUGCAAAUAUGACUGAUGGGAGUUGGUGUAUAAAUGCCCCAGCUCCCUUGCUCCUCAGCUGGAAUAACUCUGCAGUGUGUAUUUCUCCAGUGGGACUUAGCCUCAACCACCCUCUGUAACAGAUGACUCAAUAAUACACCCUUUAUUGAUUUCUUCCCUUCCCUGUCUCACUUCCCCGCUCAGGGAAGGACAGGAGUAAGUAUACUCUUUAUUUCCUAAAUGAACUACUUAUCAGUGGUAUUCAUUUCUUGGAAUAGUUGAUUCCUUAGAAUAGGAAUCAAUAUGGUUGAUUCAUAUCAUAUCAAUGGUUUUUCAACCUUUUCCUUAUCAUAGACAUGUAAAAUAUUUCCAGUCUUCCCUCUUUUAUAAAUAAGUAACGCUAUGAUAAACAUCCUGUAUGUAAAUCUUUAUACAGAUCCCCGGAAAGCAAUAUAGGACCUUUCAACAAUGAUGAGACAUCGGCAUAUUAUACCCACUUUACAGAUGAGAAAGCUAAAGUUCACAGAGAUUAAGUAACUUGCCCAGACACACAAAAAGUGGAGCAUGAAUUCAAGUGCAAAACUGAGCCUCAGUGUCAUGAUGCCAUGGCGGACACUAUGCAGACCAGCAAGGCAGCUAUUCCCUGUCUUAACCACUAAUCCCUCAGUUGAAUCCAAGCCUUGAUGAAAGGAACCUUUCUGAGCCUGAAGAUAUGGAUGGCCAUGCCUCGAACACUUCUCAGGUAGAUAACCCCCAAUUCCUUUAAUCAAAGUUCUUUCUCACCCUUCUUGGUGGUGGACCAGCCAUUUGGCAAGUGAAAGACUUAAUGAAACAGCUUGAGAAGAAAUGCCAUUAUAAAUGCCAAAUCCUUUCCCUCAUUGUCUUAGGAAUCCAGAAUUUUAGUAACCCAGCUAACCCUAGGGAAGGCUUUUGCACCCCGUACAGUGGGUGGACCCUCUCUGGGACACACCCUUCCAUUCAUUGGUGUGCUGUAGUUUAAUGAUUCCAUCGUGCUCAUGAUGGAUAUAUUGUGGUUCUGCAGAUCUUUGAUGCAACAAUUCUGCAGAAUCUUUGACACAACAAUCCCACUUUUUUGACCAGGAAGCAUGUACACACCAGGAAAGCUUCACCAGGUUCCUAGGCACACCCGUAUGUUGCCCCCUACACUUGCUCACCCCACCUCCAGAAAGAAUCCCCUGGGUCCCCACACUUCCCUCUGUUCCCAGGAAGGAAACUCACUCAGCACUACCCUACGCUCACAGCCUGCCAACCAUGUCCAUUUUCAUUUAUCUUCCCCAAAACUCAAGAAAAUAAAUGAGAAGGCAAAGUGCCAUUAGCUUAAUGGCCUUUAACACCCAGCCAUCUGCCAUGAUGUAAUUAAAUAAAAAAAUCAGAGGGAGCAUAUGGUGUCCGUUAUAAAUAAAUAUUAAAAUUUUGUUUAUCUGGGUAAUGACUCUAGUGCCUCUUGCUCCAUGGGCAAUCUUUACAGCCAUCUUCGCUUGUUGCAGGGUCAGGGUGGGCCACUAUGGACAGGAAUGGCCACGGAGAGGAAACGUGGAAAGGGGUCAGGGCCAGAGUCACACACUCCUGCAUCUGAACCUGCCUCAGGGCGGUGGUGGCUGUGUGAUCUUCAGCAAGGGGCCUCUCUGUGACUCAGUUUUCUCACCUGCAAAAUAGAGCCAAUCCACCCUGCCUCAUUGGAAAGCAAGUGACAGAGCUACAAGAAAGCCUGGAGAUCCAACACCUAGCGAAACAGCCUUCCUUUACAUAAGGGGAAACUGAGGCUUGGAGAAACUUGAAUGAAAUAACCUCUGUCCAUAUAAAAUGUCUCGCAUAGACCUGGACCCAAGUAAGUGCUCAAUACUUUUUAGCUAUUACCAAGAUUAUGAUUAUGAUACCAUAGAAUCCUAGAGUUCAAAGGGCCCUUAGACACCAGCUAGUUCAAGUCUGAUGUUUUACAGAUGAGGAACCCGGGGGCUCAGAGAGGCUGGAGGAGUGGUCCAGAGUCACACAGCCAGGCCAGGGCUGAGCUGGUUCCUGCCCUGCAGGUUUCUUCCCAGAGCACACGCUGCUCCCUGGCAGCCCCCAUUGCUCCCAGCCGCAAACACGAGCAAAUUGCCAUUUGCUGGUUCCACACUGACCACGGUGGAUUGAACUCUAAUUUAGGAACGGUGACAGCACCUAUUAGCAACCCUUCCCCAAAGAGGAACUUUCCACCAGGAGUGAAAAAUAACUGCCAUCCCCACCCCCAAAUCACCCAAGCCCAAUCUUUCUGUCCAAGGCAGUGUGUGUGUGUUUGGGGGGUGGUGGUGGAGAGGUGGUCUCUGUGCUCCCCAGCCCACCUCUACAGGUUCAAAUUCUCUUCCCCUGUCCCGGAGAACCUUGUGCCCUUGGAGGGGUUGCCAGCACCUACUGCCAGCUCUGAGCAGGACUGAGAGGUGGGCUCACAGCCAUCAAAGCAGGAGGGAGGACUGUUCAUAACCUCCAGGUCAGCUUCCUCACAGACAUAUGGGGUAACUGAGGCCUAAAGGGGAGGUGGAGGGUGACUCUACCCAGACCCAGUUUUCCUGCAUCCCAGCCUUCAGCCUUGGCACCCUCCUGAGAAAGAAGAAAAAUGGAUAAACACCUUUUGUUGCACAAUUACUAUGUGCCAGGCCCUUCCAUGUACCCUGUGCCAUUGCCUCUCCCCAGGGGCUCUGCUUGGUAGGUUGGGUUUAAUCUCACUUUACAGAUGAGACAACCAAGGCCUGGAGAGGUCAGUCAACUUGCCAAAGGGCAGAGCUGGUGAGUGGCAGAACAAGACUCAACCCAGGCCUGUCUGACUCCAGACCCUUAAUCCUAACCUCUAUGUGACAUUGUUUUCUGUGGAAGUGCCACCCUCUGACCUCUGACCUCGGGGCCUCCUCUCUGUGGGGCAAGUGGAGUGAUUUGGAGGCUUUCUGUACAAGACAGCCUUUCUCCUCUGAAUGCUCAGAGCCCGCUCAGAAGGCACAGGGGUUCCCAAGCCUUUAGUGGCCCAAGGAGUUCUGCUGGCAUCCAACAGAGAGAUGUCCCUUCAUAUGCAAGCAACAAGUGCCAGAAACUGACUGACCAUUCUAUCCAUGAAGACAUCACUUGGACACCAUCGUACCACAGAGAAGGUGCCAGGAGGCCACACAGAGGUGCAGAGAUUCAUGCAUGCUGAACAUGUGCACAGCCCCAUGGCUGUCAUCCCCCUCACCCCCAGCACAUACACAGAGUUAACCAGCCCUAUCAGGCCAUACCCAUUUAUAACACAUGGCAGGAAUCCUUAUUCCCACUUCAUGAGUGAGAAACAGCAGACACCAUGGGACCUGCCUGAGAUACAUGGUUAGUCUUGGAGCUAAAACUAGAAACUGGAUCUUCUCAUUUUGACCAAAGGUGGUUUCUUCAUCCCCUGGAAUUGUCAAAAGAAUAAAGAAGCACCUGUCUUGAAAAGUCACGACCAGAGUUUCUCAUCAUCAGUGACACUGGCACUUUGGACUGGAUAAUUUGUUGAGGAGAGCUGUUCUGUGCAUUGUAGGGUGGUUGAUAGCAUCCCUGGCCUGCACCUAAUGGAAGAGAGAACCAGAACACUGCCUGUGGACCCAUCUGAAUCCAGGCUUACAAAGUUUUGGUGCCAGAUUCUAGAGCUCCUUUCUAAGAUUUUUAUCCUAGCUCUCCAUCAUAAGAUCCUAUUGUGAGGUUCCACGCUAGGAUCCCCAACUUCUAGCACUCUAUGCUGGGAUACUAGGGUCCGUUCUGUGCAAGGAAAAAAAAAAACUAUAUUAAAAGGAGGAAAAAGUUAUGCUGGAAGCUAAGUCAGGCAAGAAACUGCCUCUCCUUUUGUUCUUAAGCAGAUAGCUACAGAUAAAAGGUGAAAUAUCUCCACAGGUAGCUACUUGAUGUUCACCUUAUCUUAUGUAAAGUGCUGAUUUACUGAGAGGGAAACAAAUAACGUAAUUGACUACUCCUCUACCUGCUCCUUUUCUCUUGCAACCUGUGGGUUUAGUAACGUGACCAUACCUUCUUUCCCCUCCAGCUUGCUUUUCUCCUUUAAAUACUGAAGCCCUCAAAGUCAUCUCUGGAGAAAUGCACAGACCUCUCUCCUGGGCAUAUCCUUAACCUUGGCAAAAUGAACUUCUAAACUGAUUGAGACCUGUCUCAGAUAGUUUUUGGUUUAGUUUCAAUGUUGGUGGGCUCUCCAAUUGUGAAAUUUUUUUCUAAGCUCCUAAGAUCUCAUCUCCCAUGUCAAAGUUGAAAUUCUCUCCGGGAGACAGUCAUGCCUCGCUGCCUUCCAGUGACCAGGAUGAAAGAUGCACCCAUGAAUUAUAUAUUUCAAGUCAUCUCUAAAUUGCCUGGCAAUUACAGAACAGCAAGGUCAGCUGCCGGGAGCAAGAAUCUCCCUUUUGGCAGAGAAAAACAGAUGGAUGGAAACACAACGAUAUACAGAAAGAUGUUACCUCUUGGAGGGGGGGUGUUUUUCAGAUGCUGGUCACCAUAGAUGCUGGUCACCACCAUGCCCUUUCAUAAGUGUCCUUACAAAAGGAGGAAAUCAGGACAGAUACAUCCAGAGGGAAGACGCUAUGAAGACACAGAGAAGAGGGCCAUCUAUGCCAAGGAGAGGGGUAGGAAGCAAAUUCUUCCCACACACACCUCGGAGGAACCAACCCUGCUGACACCUUAAUUUUGGACUUCCAGCUUCCAGAACUGUGAGAUAAUAAAUUUUAGUUGUUUAAGCUACUCAGCAUGUGGUGUUUUGUUACAGCAACCCUAGCAAACUGAUACACCAGUGCUCUGCAUAGGACCUCAACAUUUCCUUUUCCUUUUUUUUUAAUGAGAGAGAAUUCAUAUGUGGCAUGGUAAAAACAAGUGCGCAGGAAUUUCACAUAUGUACACACCCAGGUGACCCACCCAGAUCAAGACUCUGAACAUUCCCCUGGCUCCUAGAGGCUCUCCACUGUCCCCUCUCAGCGAAUCACCCUCCCCAGGGGCCAUCACUUUUCUAACUUCUAUCACCAUAGGUUAGCUUUGUACAUUCUUGAGCCUCUUAUUAUUAUUUUAGAAAUGGGGCCUCACUAUUUGCCCAGGCUGGUCUUGAACUCCUGAGCUCAAGUGUGAUCCUCCCAUCCCAGCAUCCCAAAGUGCUGAGAUUACAGGUGUGAGCCACCACGCCCAGCUGUUGAGCCUCAUAAAUGGCUGAACAAUGUUGAACAAAGGAAGCUGGCCCCUUACAUUUAAACUCAUUUGUGCCAUAUAAAAACCCCUUGAGACAGGCACUAUAAUUAUCUUCAUUUUACAGGUGUAGAAUCAGAGGCCCAGAGAGCUUCAGUAACUUGUUCAAGGUCACACAGCUAGGGUGUAGGAGGCAGAGCCAGGAUUUGACUGGGUAAGUCUGGCUGCACUCACUAUACUUACUGCUUUUAAAUACACAGCAAGUGCCCAGUAACUAUAAUCACGGCGACUUCUAACAAGCAGGGGCUCUCACUCUGGGCCAGGCACCAUGCCAGCUCUCUCCACAUUACUUCAUCUAACUCGCACACCAGUCCUAUUUAGUAUUUUUAAAAUAUAUCUAUAUAAAAUAAUACACAUAAUAUAUAUUACACAUAUAUACAUACUAAAUUUUCUAUACCUCAUAAUAUUACCAGUGAGAAACACUAAUACAAGCCCCAUUUAACAGAGGAGUAAACUGAGGCUCAGAGCAUUGAAUAAUGGAUGCAAGGUCAUAGACUCAGCAAGAGGCAGAGCUGGGAUGGCUUGCAGAACUCGUGCUUAUAACUACUGACAUCAGCUGCCUCCUGCCAGCUGCUGCUAAGAGCAGCACCAGGACCACAGAACUCAACAACCUGUGCUUUAAUUAAAAUCACAAUGAGAUGCCACCACACACCUGAUUUUUUCCAGUCACUUCUAAUCGCUUUCACGUGGGCUGUUCUAAUCGUCUAGACAGGAGGUUUUUAAAUUCCAGUACACACACAUUGUACUGGAAUGGCUCAAAUAAAAAAAAACAAAAACAAAAAACAAAAACUAAUCCCAAGUGCUGGAGAGGAUGUGGAGCAACUGGAACUCCCAUCCAUCCAUGGUAGGAAUGUGAAAAGGUAUACUGCCACUUUGGAAAACAGUUUGACCAUUUCUUAAAAAGUUAAAUGUCCACUCCUAGGUAUUUGCCCAAGAGAAAUGAAAACCCAUGCUCAGGCAAAAAUCUGCAUGCAAAUAUUUAUAGCAACUUUAUUUGUAAUUGCCAAAAAUGAAAGCAAACAAAUGGUGAAUGAACAAACUGUGGUGCCUCCAUACAACGGAGUACUACUCAGCCAUGAAAAGGAAUCAGCUACUGAUGACACAACAGCACUGAUAAACCUCAAAGGCAUCAUGCAUUAUGCCGAGUGAAAGAAGCCAGACUCAAAGGCUAUUAUGAUUCCAUUUAUAUGACACUCUGGUAAUGGCAGAAAAGAAAGACAACACAAAACAGAUAGUGGUUGUCAGGGGCGAGAGAUGAAAGAGGGAUUGACCACAGAGGGGCAAAGAGGAAUUGAGGGUGAUGGAACAUUUGUUCAUCUUGAUUGCAGUAGAGGUUAUAUGGUUGUACACAUUUGUCAAAACUUGCCAAACUGUACACUAAAAUGGGUGCAUUUUACUGUAGGUAAACGAUACUCAAUACAAAACAUUAAAGAAAAUAUAACAAUAGGCCGGGCGUGGUGGCUCGCGCCUGUAAUCCCAGCACUUUGGGAGG
rnacentral:lncRNA from 1 species